UAUGCUUCAAAACUUAUUAGCUAAUGAAAAGGAUAACAAAUCAAUUAGCAGCAAAUAGAUAGGUGUGAGGGUGUGCCAUCAGUGUUAAAGUAACUAAAAAAAUAGUGAUCAAAAAGAGGGUGUGAUAGUAGCACGAAUUCAGGUUUCUUGAUCUUUAAGGACUUUCACUAUUAUCACACCAUCAUUUAAAAAAGACGGAUUUAAAUAAGGAUAGAGAUAUAAUCUAGACUAGUAGAGAUCUUAGUUAAAUUAACACUAGUCUUAAGAUAUAAAAAACGAGAAAGCUAAGAUAAGAUAACAUACAUUAAAUAUAUUAUUAAAAAAAAUUAUAAAGUAUAAAUUUCACUUAUUUAUAUUAAACAUAAUAACUACCCACUUUAAUAAUUGUUAUCCAUAUCUGACCUCUACUUUUAAUGUUUCUAAUUACUAAGACCAACUAUCCUCUCACUAUUUACAUCUAUUAGAGCAACCUAACCAUGCACUACCUGUUAGACUGAUAGUCAUAUUUAGUUAGCUGAUGUAUCUUCAAUCACCUACUUUAUAUUAGUGCCCUCUCGAUCAUUCCUAUAUAUUUGGCCUCGAAUGUGAUUUGUCAAUCAACUUCCCUAUAGUGCCCAUUCAAUCUUAGCUCUUGAGAUAUCCUCCUAAGAUUCAUUACAUCAGUUCUCACCAAAUCAUAUGGCUAAUUAGACAUGUGUCUCUUAUAUGUUGGUUUGAACAAGAAUGUCAUGUAAACAAUAUCUUCUGUAUCCUAUCAACCAUCAAUCAAAUAGGAUGAUGGGAUAUACUAGUCAUUUGAGUAUCCGAAUCAAACUGUUGGCAUUUGAUUUUUUAAAUAAUUGCACCUCUGAUGAUUUUUGCCCUUAUUGAGUUUUUUUUCAUAAUACAGGAAUCAUACAAUGGUGCUUCCUCUCCCCUUAUAAUGUCCACAUGCCGGUAUAGUAUAGUGUUGGCACUCUUUCCAUCCUAUCCCAAAAUAUUGCACGGCUUGCUAACAAAGUUCCAUCCAGAUGUCACAGAGAGUAGUGGUGACAAAUUAAAUAGUGAGGAUUUGUGUGAGCAGGCAUGCCACAAGCAUCGAAUUAGCUAGAAAAUAAUCGAAGGAGGGAUAGAAAGCAACAUGAUCCAUGUGUCUUGACCAUCAAAGGCCUUCACCAUCAUCACACUACCAUUUAAAGAAGAUAGAUAAAGGGUGUAGAGCUGGGCUACAUAGAGGAAUGUAACAUUGGACAAUGAUAAGGAUGUACCAUUAAGCCAUAGUGUAAAAAGUUAGGUUACUCCUAUUCCUAAGGUAGAAACAACAAUGAACUAAGAUAACAUAAAAUUUAUUGGAUUGAUUAUUGAAGGAUCAAAGAUCCUCAUGGAGUACAAUUCCAUUAGUUGUAUUAAAAUGUAGUAACUACCUACUUUGACAAUUGUCAUCCAUGUUUAGUCUCCACUCCUAGCAAUUUUGGUAACUAACAUUGGUUGACUUCCUACUACUGCAUGGUCAUUAGGAUGGCCAUUUAGCACCAACUGUUAGGCUGAUACUCAUCCUUCUAUUCGUCUUAGCAUAAAACUUUCUUUAGAUUACCUUUUCAUUAUGUUGGCUAUCUUUCCUUAAUUGUCUUGUAGCAUAAUCUUAUUUGUGAAGAUAUCAUUGAGACCAAUUUAUAUAUAUAAUACUUGCCCAUCUUUUGCCAUCAGGAUGAUCAUGAUGACAUCGAGGCUUGGUCUCUUGUGAUAGUUACUUCUAAUUCUACUUCAGGGUGGCUACAUCUGCAACAACCCUUGGAUGUCUAGAUAUGGCAUAAAAAAAUACCCUCCACAUUCUAUUAACCAUCAAUCAAUUGGAUAACAGGAUGUGCCAUAACAUCACAACUGCUUUAAUAGGAAUGAUGUUCGGAAAUUCGAAGUGCUCAUGUCUUUUGGAAUUCCUACAUUUCCACCAUACCCUCCUUAAUAUGUACCUUUUUUUUCUUUUAGGAUAGUCUAUAUGGCUUAAUAAGGUAGCUAACCCUUCGGAGCAAACCACUUCUCAAUGCAUCGCAAUCAAUUAAAAUCAUUUUAGGACAUGAUAUUAAAACCUUUUUAAAGAGAUCAAAAGGUCCAUCUUCCAUCUCUACCUCCAGUAGUUCAUGCUCCCUUCACCUCCUUCAACCUUUUACAAUAUUAAUGAUAGGAUGAACCAAGAUCCUACCUCCCUUAAUGCUCUUACCCACAAAAGAUGAGAAGAAUUAGAGCAUUUUAGGAUUCUAUAAUCUAUAGAUUCUC
rnacentral:lncRNA from 1 species